rnacentral:rRNA from 1 species
AGAGUUUGAUCCUGGCUCAGGAUGAACGCUGGCGGCGUGCCUAAUACAUGCAAGUCGAGCGAACGGACGAGAAGCUUGCUUCUCUGAUGUUAGCGGCGGACGGGUGAGUAACACGUGGAUAACCUACCUAUAAGACUGGGAUAACUUCGGGAAACCGGAGCUAAUACCGGAUAAUAUUUUGAACCGCAUGGUUCAAAAGUGAAAGACGGUCUUGCUGUCACUUAUAGAUGGAUCCGCGCUGCAUUAGCUAGUUGGUAAGGUAACGGCUUACCAAGGCAACGAUGCGUAGCCGACCUGAGAGGGUGAUCGGCCACACUGGAACUGAGACACGGUCCAGACUCCUACGGGAGGCAGCAGUAGGGAAUCUUCCGCAAUGGGCGAAAGCCUGACGGAGCAACGCCGCGUGAGUGAUGAAGGUCUUCGGAUCGUAAAACUCUGUUAUUAGGGAAGAACAAAUGUGUAAGUAACUAUGCACGUCUUGACGGUACCUAAUCAGAAAGCCACGGCUAACUACGUGCCAGCAGCCGCGGUAAUACGUAGGUGGCAAGCGUUAUCCGGAAUUAUUGGGCGUAAAGCGCGCGUAGGCGGUUUUUUAAGUCUGAUGUGAAAGCCCACGGCUCAACCGUGGAGGGUCAUUGGAAACUGGAAAACUUGAGUGCAGAAGAGGAAAGUGGAAUUCCAUGUGUAGCGGUGAAAUGCGCAGAGAUAUGGAGGAACACCAGUGGCGAAGGCGACUUUCUGGUCUGUAACUGACGCUGAUGUGCGAAAGCGUGGGGAUCAAACAGGAUUAGAUACCCUGGUAGUCCACGCCGUAAACGAUGAGUGCUAAGUGUUAGGGGGUUUCCGCCCCUUAGUGCUGCAGCUAACGCAUUAAGCACUCCGCCUGGGGAGUACGACCGCAAGGUUGAAACUCAAAGGAAUUGACGGGGGCCCGCACAAGCGGUGGAGCAUGUGGUUUAAUUCGAAGCAACGCGAAGAACCUUACCAGGUCUUGACAUCUUUUGAUCACCUGAGAGAUCAGGUUUCCCCUUCGGGGGCAAAAUGACAGGUGGUGCAUGGUUGUCGUCAGCUCGUGUCGUGAGAUGUUGGGUUAAGUCCCGCAACGAGCGCAACCCUUAAGCUUAGUUGCCAUCAUUAAGUUGGGCACUCUAAGUUGACUGCCGGUGACAAACCGGAGGAAGGUGGGGAUGACGUCAAAUCAUCAUGCCCCUUAUGACCUGGGCUACACACGUGCUACAAUGGAUGGUACAACGAGUUGCGAGACCGCGAGGUCAAGCUAAUCUCUUAAAGCCAUUCUCAGUUCGGACUGUAGGCUGCAACUCGCCUACACGAAGUCGGAAUCGCUAGUAAUCGCGGAUCAGCACGCCGCGGUGAAUACGUUCCCGGGCCUUGUACACACCGCCCGUCACACCAUGAGAGUUUGUAACACCCGAAGCCGGUGGCGUAACCCUUUUAGGGAGCGAGCCGUCUAAGGUGGGACAAAUGAUUAGGGUGAAGUCGUAACAAGGUAGCCGUAGGAGAACCUGCGGCUG